GAGGAACAAGUGGCACGCACGCAGGUACAGAGCACGGCUGCUCCGUACCGUGAGCGUGGCACUGGCUUUGCAGUGAUUCAGUAGAGUUGGGCAGGAAUAGAGCUAAAAUUUGGUAGUUUUGUACCAUGCAGACACUUUGUUUUUCUGCAACUUUGGGCAAAUUCUCUGUUUUUUUGCACUGGUGGUGGGUAUCGGUGUAACCGCGAGGUUAGGUUAAUGUUAACCCCAUGUAAAGCGUGCGGAUUGCAGGUGUCAUGUAAACAUUAAUGAGGUCUUUGUGAUGCUAAUUAGAGCGUGCGCCGUUGUUAUAAUACAUCUUCAAGCAAUGUUAACAAGUAGUUUUUGGCAGAGACUUCCUCAAAGCACUGUGGUCUGGGUGCAUGGUUUUUUCGGUGUCCUCAGUUUUCAUGUGAAACCCUUCCUUUAACUUCCUACAAGGUCUUAAGUCACUUUCCCUUUGCUCAGUUAUGGAAAUAUUUCGGAAUAUGUACUGUUCGGGAUGGGAAAGAGUAUUGUAAAUGCUCAGUUCUGUUAACUGUUCCUUCUCGUUAAGUGACAAUGAAGUUUUUGUAUUAGUGCAGAUUUUCACUUUUCCCCUCCUGUUCUUUCCGUUCCCAAACACAGAACAUCUGAAGAAACUCUUGGAGCUUGUUACCAGAGCCCGUGUUCCUCUGAUCGUUAAAUCAUGCACUGCUCAGCUGUGAAACAUCGUGGCAUGUGUUUUUGCUAACAGAAAACGCUGUCAAAUAUUGCUCUGCCUUUCUUCUACAAGAGUUUCUACCAGUGCUAUCAGAAGGUCAAGAAAAGUGCACUGCCUGUGCUGCCCUAGGACUGUUGAUGUCCUCAGCUGUUGUAGGAGAAGCACCAGACCUGGAACCCAGUUUGUUACUGGUAAAAGUGAAACUCGUACACGCUCUGUGCCUUGUGGAAGGAGGAGCUCCAAGCCCAAUCUCACCUUACAGAGCGCCUUCAUAGAGGAAUUUAAAAAAUGCUGGAAUGUCUUGGGAGUGGAGACAUGGAAAGGACAUGGGGGAAGCAGAGAAAUGGGCAUGUCAGCUGGUUUGGCUUUCUGGUCCAGAAGGCACCUACCCACCUUCUGCGCCUGUCCCCCGUGCCCUUGGACGCGUGGGCAGGGAGAUGCUGCCUUGGAGCAUGGAUUUUGAUACCUGUAAAGGAAGAACAGAAGGAAAUGCCAGAUCUAAAAACCUUCCGAUCAUUUCUUAAUUGUAUGCUGUGAGAUUUCUUGCGUCUUCCCCUGAAUCGUGUGGAUACGGCAGCUGUUGAAGACAGAAUUGGUGACGGACAACUCACUUUAUGCUGUGUGGCAAUUCGUAUUUCCUGAGGGGACUAAGCUGACUCGUCAGCUCCUAAAAGUAGAUGCAGUAGUGGUUUCUGGAAUAAGGACAAAACUGAACUGUCGCUCGGCCUUAAAAG
rnacentral:lncRNA from 1 species